rnacentral:rRNA from 1 species
UACGGGGGGGGGCAAGCGUUGUUCGGAAUUACUGGGCGUAAAGGGCGCGUAGGCGGCGUGACAAGUCACUUGUGAAAUCUCUGAGCUUAACUCAGAACGGCCAAGUGAAACUGUUGUGCUAGAGUGCAGAAGGGGCAAUCGGAAUUCUUGGUGUAGCGGUGAAAUGCGUAGAUAUCUGGAGGAACACCGGUGGCGAAGGCGGCAUCCUGGACCGAGAUUGACGCUGAGGCGCGAAAGCUAGGGGAGCAAACGGG